CUACCGGUGAUCGUGGGGGUCGGGUGGUUUUGUUUGAAAGGACUGACACUCAAGACCAUGUUGGACAUCGAAGAGAUCUAGAGAAGAUGGAUUAUCCAAUCAAUAGGCAUCCUGAGUUUCACUAUAAAACAGAGUUUCAGAGCCACGAACCUGAGUUUGACUAUCUGAAGAGCUUGGAAAUUGAGGAGAAAAUUAACAAAAUUAGGUGGUGCCAGUCAUCUAAUGGUGCUCUUUUUCUUUUGUCGACAAAUGAUAGAACAAUAAAGUUA